UAGGGAAUCUUCGGCAAUGGACGAAAGUCUGAACGAGCAACGCCGCGUGAGUGAAGAAGGUUUUCGGAUCGUAAAACUCUGUUGUUAGAGAAGAACAAGGACGUUAGUAACUGAACGUCCCCUGACGGUAUCUAACCAGAAAGCCACGGCUAACUACGUGCCAGCAGCCGCGGUAAUACGUAGGUGGCAAGCGUUGUCCGGAUGUAUUGGGCGUAAAGCGAGCGCAGGCGGUUUCUUAAGUCUGAUGUGAAAGCCCCCGGCUCAACCGGGGAGGGUCAUUGGAAACUGGGAGACUUGAGUGCAGAAGAGGAGAGUGGAAUUCCAUGUGUAGCGGUGAAAUGCGUAGAUAUAUGGAGGAACACCAGUGGCGAAGGCGGCUCUCUGGUCUGUAACUGACGCUGAGGCUCGAAAGCGUGGGGAGCAAACAGG
rnacentral:rRNA from 1 species